GUUUCUGCUCGCUGGUGCUGACAAAUGACAAACAAAAGCGAUGCUCACGUCGGGGUGCCCCGGGGCACCUCGCGGGGUGCCCGGGAGCCAGUGGCCGGACCCCAGAGUCACCCAGUGUUAGACUGCGACCUACGUGGUUAUCUACAAAGUGAGGUUUCAAACACUCUUGUCAUAUUGGGAAUUGGGUUACACGAUUAUGGAGGCUAAGAAGUCCCGUGAUGUACUGUCUGAAAGCUGGAGGAUCUGUGGAGCAGAUGGUGUAAAUCCCAGUGCAAGGGCCCAAGAAUACAGAUGUCCCUCCUCAGUCAACCAGCUUCCAGAUGCUGCUGCUGAGUUUCAGACAACACUCUCACCAGUGAGACUGGAGACUCGAAAACAGUGGUUCUCAAACUAGAGUGACUGGGGCCUCCCAGGGACAUUUGGCAAGGUAUGGAGAUAUUGUUACAACUGGGGCAGCGCUACUGGGUUGAGGCCAGGAAUGUUGAACUUCUUUCCACACACAGACAGUCCCUGAUAACAAUUAUGUAGCCCCAAAUGUCAAGACUGAGAACCCUGCACUAGAAGAAUCUUGAGUAUUAUAAAUACCCAGUGGGUGUCUCCUAUGAAGCUAACAGUGACUGUUCCCUAGGAAAAGACUUUUCAGUUUGCUCCCAGUUCCCUUCCCUUUUCAUUGCCAGUUUCCUGCGACUGAAGGGGUUUUUAUAGCAGAAAGAAUUUUCUUUCAAAAGUCUACCAGCCUUCAGGUCAUAUCCCCUUCCAAUUUACGAAAUGAAAAUUUGAAUAGAAUUUUUCAUGACAUUGAAAUGAUUUUAAAGGUCCCAUAAUGGUGGAAAAUGAAUACAAAAAUUAAGGCAGCGAGUUUACAGGCUGGAAACACGAUCUUAUAUGACUUCUGUAUUAUUUGUAUUUAGGCUAGUGCAGCAAUUUUCAACCGUUUUUAUUUCAUGGCACACAUAAACUAAUUACUAAAAUUCUGUGGCACACAAA